rnacentral:lncRNA from 1 species
AGACAGCCCCGCCCCUUAGGGGCGUGCCCAGGGAGGGGCGUUGGGGGGCAGCCACCUUCUGGUUUCCAGUCCGCUCUCUCUGUGGACAAUUAGUGUGUUGCAUCUGCUGCCCUGGAUGUACCGGAACUCUGUAACACGGCUGGCCUGGAACUCAAGAGAUCUGUCUGCCUCAAAUACUGGGAUUAAAGGUGUGCUCAACCACCGCUCAGCAAGUCAUUCUUUGUCCAGAGAACUUUACGACUGUAAUGGAGGCCAAGGUUGAAGGCAUUGCUGCGUGGCUAGUCUAUUACACGCACAAGAUGGUUACAAGAACACCUAACGGAAUGACCAAGGAUCGAGGAAGCCAUCUGAACCAUGAUGGCCCUUCGCAGAUGACUUAAGAGAGUUUUGCUUAUCUCUUUAUGCGGAUGGACCUCUUUAAUUUGAUCACCAAAUAGUAUGAGAAAACUCUGACACAUUAAAGCAACACACGCCAGGAAAUUAUUGAUCACCAGGCCAGUGCUUGAGCCACAAAUAAUCUAUAGUUGCUCUAUUUUGUAGAACUGUGGUUCCGUUUGCCUUUCUCUUAACUAAUUUCUUCUAAUUUUUUUUUUGCUGUAAUAUCAAUAGUUGUACUAAUCAUGCAAGCGA